GCAAGAAACAAUUUUACUAGACUUGAAAUACUUAGCAAAGCUUCAUUAUGGGAGGAACAAUGGUGAUCCUACUUUUUGUUAUGGUCGUAGUUUUGGCAUUCUUCGAAAUAAAUGCCGAAUCAUUUGCUGAUCCUUUGGCUAGGCCACAUCCUAGUCCUUGUAGACCAUUUAAGCCAGGACAAAGUCCACCAAUAGAUUGUCCACCUUAAUACUUCCUUUUUAAAAAUUAAUUGAAUCUUCGUUAUUAAAUAUACGUGUGUUCGAUGUAUGCGAUACUUAAAAAAAAUUAUUAUUACAUUUAUUCAAAAAAUAAAAUUAUAAAUUUCCUUAGAAAAAAAAUAUAAGGAAUAUAUUGUAUUACGAAAAUAUACAUACAAUUUGAUAAAUUAAUCA